rnacentral:rRNA from 1 species
CAAAAACAUUUUUUAUAGAUUUUAUUAUAAAUAAAACCUGCUCAAUGAAAAAUUAAAUAGCCGCAGAAUUUUUUAUACUGUGCUAAGGUAGCAUAAUCAUUUAUCUAUUAAUUGUAGAUUAGAAUGAAAGGUUAUACAUUUUAAAUUCUAUUUUUAAAUUUAUUAAUUAAAAUUAUUUUAAGUAUAAUAAAAUUCUUAUGUAAAAAAUAGACGAUAAGACCCUAUUGAACUUUACUGAAGUUUAACUGGGGUAGUUAUAUAAAAAUAAUUUUAUAAAUUUAAAUAAAAAAAUUUACCUAAUUAAAUUAAUAUAUUAAUCAAGUUACCAUAGGGAUAACAGCGUAAUAAUUUUUUAAAGCUCUCAUUUAAAAAAAAGAUUGCGACCUCGAUGUUGAAUUAAAAACAUCUAAAUUAAGAAACCUUAAUUUAAGAAAGUCUGUUCGACUUUUAAAAUUUUACGUGAUCU